UGGGGAAUUUUGGACAAUGGGCGCAAGCCUGAUCCAGCCAUGCCGCGUGCGGGAAGAAGGCCUUCGGGUUGUAAACCGCUUUUGUCAGGGAAGAAAUCUUCUGAGUUAAUACCUCGGGAGGAUGACGGUACCUGAAGAAUAAGCACCGGCUAACUACGUGCCAGCAGCCGCGGUAAUACGUAGGGUGCAAGCGUUAAUCGGAAUUACUGGGCGUAAAGCGUGCGCAGGCGGUUUUGUAAGACAGAGGUGAAAUCCCCGGGCUCAACCUGGGAACUGCCUUUGUGACUGCAAGGCUUGAGUGCGGCAGAGGGGGGAUGGAAUUCCGCGUGUAGCAGUGGAAAUUGCGUAGAUAUGCGGAGGAACACCGAUGGGAAGGCAAUCCCCUGGGCCUGCANUGACGGCUCAUGCACGAAAGCGUGGGGAGCAAACAGGAUUAGAUACCCUGGU
rnacentral:rRNA from 1 species